rnacentral:rRNA from 1 species
CCCUAUGGGGUGCAGCAGGGGCGAAACCUCUACAAUGCACGCAAGUGUGAUAGGGGAAUCCCAAGUGCUUAUGCAUUGCAUAGGCUUUUGCCAAGAGUAAACACCUUGGCGAAUAAGUGGUGGGAAAGACUGGUGCCAGCCGCCGCGGUAACACCAGCGCCACAAGUGGUGACCAGUAUUAUUGGGCCUAAAGCGUCCGUAGCUGGCCAAGUAAAUCUUCUGUGAAAUCGUUCGGCUUAACCGUACGACGUGCAGGGGACACUGCUUGGCUAGGGACCGGGAGGAGCCAGAAGUAUUCCAGGGGGAGCGGUUAAAUGUUAUAAUCCUUGAAAGACUACCUGCGGCGAAGGCGUCUGGCUAGAACGGGUCCGACAGUGAGGGACGAAAGCUAGGGGAGCGAACCGGAUUAGAUACCCGAGUAGUCCUAGCCGUAAACUCUGCAAGCUAGAUGUUGCGUAUUCUACGAGGAUGCGCAGUAUCGAAGUGAAGACGGUAAGCUUGCCGCCUGGGAAGUAUAGUCGCAAGGCCGAAACUUAAAGGAAUUGGCGGGGGAGCACCACAAGGGGUGCGGCGUGCGGUUUAAUCCAAUUCAACACGAAGCAUCUCACCAGGGGCGACGGCAGAAUGAAAGUCAGUCUGAAAGGCUUUCCUGACGAGACCAGAAGUGGUGCAUGGC